AGAGUUUGAUCCUGGCUCAGGACGAACGCUGGCGGCGUGCCUAACACAUGCAAGUCGAGCGAUGAAAUCCCUUCGGGGAUGGAUUAGCGGCGGACGGGUGAGUAACACGUGGGUAACCUGCCUCAAAGAGGGGGAUAGCCUCCCGAAAGGGAGAUUAAUACCGCAUAACAUUAGUUUUUCGCAUGAAGAACUAAUUAAAGGAGUAAUCCGCUUUGAGAUGGACCCGCGGCGCAUUAGCUAGUUGGUGAGGUAAAGGCUCACCAAGGCGACGAUGCGUAGCCGACCUGAGAGGGUGAUCGGCCACAUUGGAACUGAGACACGGUCCAGACUCCUACGGGAGGCAGCAGUGGGGAAUAUUGCACAAUGGGCGGGAGCCUGAUGCAGCAACGCCGCGUGAGUGAUGAAGGCCUUCGGGUUGUAAAGCUCUGUCUUUUGGGACGAUAAUGACGGUACCAAAGGAGGAAGCCACGGCUAACUACGUGCCAGCAGCCGCGGUAAUACGUAGGUGGCGAGCGUUGUCCGGAUUUACUGGGCGUAAAGGAUGCGUAGGCGGAUAUUUAAGUGAGAUGUGAAAUACCCGGGCUUAACUUGGGUGCUGCAUUUCAAGCUGGAUAUCUAGAGUGCGGGAGAGGAGAAUGGAAUUCCUAGUGUAGCGGUGAAAUGCGUAGAGAUUAGGAAGAACACCAGUGGCGAAGGCGAUUCUCUGGACCGUAACUGACGCUGAGGCAUGAAAGCGUGGGUAGCAAACAGGAUUAGAUACCCUGGUAGUCCACGCCGUAAACGAUGAGUACUAGGUGUAG
rnacentral:rRNA from 1 species